rnacentral:rRNA from 1 species
AGAGUUUGAUCAUGGCUCAGAACGAACGCUGGCGGCAGGCCUAACACAUGCAAGUCGAGCGAGAAACCACCUCCGGGUGGCGGACAGCGGCGGACGGGUGGGUAAUGCGUGGGAAUAUGCCCUUUGGUACGGAAUAGCCCCUGGAAACGGGGAGUAAUACCGUAUGUGCCCUACGGGGGAAAGAUUUAUCGCCAAAGGAUUAGCCCAUGUUGGAUUAGCUAGUUGGUGAGGUAAAGGCUCACCAAGGCGACGAUCUAUAGCUGGUUUGAGAGGAUGAUCAGCCACACUGGGACUGAGACACGGCCCAGACUCCUACGGGAGGCAGCAGUGGGGAAUAUUAGACAAUGGGCGAAAGCCUGAUCUAGCCAUGCCGCGUGAGUGAAGAAGGCCCUAGGGUUGUAAAGCUCUUUCAGAUGUGAGGAUGAUGACAGUAACAUCAGAAGAAGCCCCGGCUAACUUCGUGCCAGCAGCCGCGGUAAU